GCCACCUAUUGCUCUUGCACCUUUACGGCAGGAAGGAAUCAGACCAUGCAAUGUUUCUGAUGUACUGGUGGAUUUGGUGGAAGCAGUGGCACCUUUGGCACACGAGCAGAGGAGAGCUGUUUUACUUUCUGAGGUUCCAAGAUCUUUACAGGUACCAAUUGAAGAGCCUGCUUUACGCCAGGCUUUGGGUAAUUUGAUCGAGG
rnacentral:misc_RNA from 1 species